UUAAUUGAAGAGUUUGAUCAUGGCUCAGAUUGAACGCUGGCGGCAGGCCUAACACAUGCAAGUCGAGCGGCAGCACAGAGGAACUUGUUCCUUGGGUGGCGAGCGGCGGACGGGUGAGUAAUGCCUGGGAAAUUGCCCGGUAGAGGGGGGAUAACCAUUGGAAACGAUGGCUAAUACCGCAUAACCUCGCAAGAGCAAAGCAGGGGACCUUCGGGCCUUGCGCUACCGGAUAUGCCCAGGUGGGAUUAGCUAGUUGGUGAGGUAAGGGCUCACCAAGGCGACGAUCCCUAGCUGGUCUGAGAGGAUGAUCAGCCACACUGGAACUGAGACACGGUCCAGACUCCUACGGGAGGCAGCAGUGGGGAAUAUUGCACAAUGGGCGCAAGCCUGAUGCAGCCAUGCCGCGUGUAUGAAGAAGGCCUUCGGGUUGUAAAGUACUUUCAGUAGGGAGGAAGGUGGUUAAG
rnacentral:rRNA from 2 species